rnacentral:rRNA from 1 species
AUUGAACGCUGGCGGCAGGCCUAACACAUGCAAGUCGAACGGUAACAGGAAGAAGCUUGCUUCUUUGCUGACGAGUGGCGGACGGGUGAGUAAUGUCUGGGAAACUGCCUGAUGGAGGGGGAUAACUACUGGAAACGGUAGCUAAUACCGCAUAACGUCGCAAGACCAAAGAGGGGGACCUUCGGGCCUCUUGCCAUCGGAUGUGCCCAGAUGGGAUUAGCUAGUAAGUGGGGUAACGGCUCACCUAGGCGACGAUCCCUAGCUGGUCUGAGAGGAUGACCAGCCACACUGGAACUGAGACACGGUCCAGACUCCUACGGGAGGCAGCAGUGGGGAAUAUUGCACAAUGGGCGCAAGCCUGAUGCAGCCAUGCCGCGUGUAUGAAGAAGGCCUUCGGGU